AUUGAACGCUGGCGGCAGGCCUAACACAUGCAAGUCGAACGAGUGGCGGACGGGUGAGUAAUGUCUGGGAAACUGCCUGUUGGAGGGGGCUAACUACUGGAAACGGUAGCUUAUACCGCAUACCAUCGGAUUGGCCCAGAUGGGAUUGGCUAGUAGGUGGGGUAAAGGCUCACCUAGGCGACGACCACUAGCUGGUCUGAGAGGAUGACCAGCCACACUGUAACGGAGACAAGGUCCAGACUCCGACGGUAGGCAGCAGUGGGGAAGAUUGCACAAUGGGCGCAAGCCUGAUGCAGCCAUGCCGCGUGUAUGAAGAAGGCCUUCGUGUUGUAAAGUACUUUCAGCGGGGAGGCGUUACCCGCAGAAGAAGCACCGGCUAACUCCGUGCCAGCAGCCGCGGUAAUAC
rnacentral:rRNA from 1 species